AAAAUAUUGUGUUUUUAAAUCUAGUAAGAAAUUAUUUUAAAAAUCUAGUAGCCACAGAUAAUCAACUUGUUGUUAAUAUGGUUACACCUUUAUUUAUUUCAGUUUAAAAUGUUUUGUUAAAAUUUGCUCCGCAAAAUUGUCAGUACCUCGGAUAGGUGAUGGGCGGCAGUUUAAGGAGCCGUCCCGCAGUUUCGACCUUUUCGUCCGGCCGUUUGCUGGAGCCGGAGCCCGAACCGCAACCGCUCGCUUGAGACAUCACACCGUCCUUAUACCCGACACCGUAAACUGUGUGGAAGCGUGUUUGGCAGAAAUGGUCGUUUAGUUGUUUGAUACGUUUCCUGGUUACCAAACAAUUUCGAGCCGCGAAAACUAUGCCGACUUGUUUGCGGCGUACUUGUUUAGAAAAGUUAUUUGAGAUACUCGGUUAGCAGUUUGACUGGGCACUUGAUUUUCUAAUCUCCUUGUAAAGGUUACGUGCCAAAAAACUAUAGAUAUAGACAGACUUUAAUGUAGUUUUCAAAACUAUAUUCAAUAAAUUUGUUUGAAAACAGUUGAA